rnacentral:rRNA from 1 species
UACGUAGGGGGCAAGCGUUGUCCGGAAUCAUUGGGCGUAAAGAGCGUGUAGGCGGCCAGAAAAAUCCGCUGUGAAAACUCGAGGCUCAACUUCGAGCUGUCGGUGGAAACUUUCUGGCUAGAGUCCGGAAGAGGAGAAUGGAAUUCCUGGUGUAGCGGUGAAAUGCGUAGAUAUCUGGAGGAACACCGGUGGCGAAGGCGGCAUCCUGGACCGGUAUUGACGCUGAUGCGCGAAAGCCAGGGGAGCAAACGGG